rnacentral:misc_RNA from 1 species
UGGAUCAAAGCAGGCAAAUAGUCUUUGGCUCUCUGCAUAGACAUUAGUUCUCGCAUGGUCAUCACAUUCUACAUAUUUUUUCAUAUAACCGACCUAGUUCUCACGAACCCCUUUUUUCAAAGCAGCCACCAUGAUUAAAAAAAAAAAUUGAAAAAAACCAACUUCAUUAACUUUUAAGUAGUUCAUUCCACUACAACUUUAUAUAUACUGUAAAUUCCUAUCCAAGAAACCCAUGUUCCAGUUUUGAAAGUCUCAUUUCCACUAAUAUGUAGUUGGUUGCUUUUGAAUCCAUAUCAACAAUUAAUCCCCAUAAUCAACAAGAAUAACCCAUUUCAUUAUCAGGCUCCAUUGCUAGAUAAUAACUCAUUGGCAGAUACUGAAAACAGCUGUGCAAUCCACUGUGAGGUAAUCACAUAAUACAGCACCAAUAAAGAAAUUUACAAACUAUAAACAUCUAAAAACAGUUCCAAAAGAAGGAUCAUCUUAGAGUACCCAGCUGCCCACAAAACCAAGAAUAUAGAGUUCUUAAAAUACCAUACCUAUUUUCAUUAGUAAUGAUCUACUUCCUUAAGACUCCAUUAUUUCUCAGUCUUAAUUCCCUCACAUACCCACCUGAUGCCACCCAAAAGAAGAGGGUGAUCCAUACUCUACUAUUAUAUCCACUUUUCUUAAUAAAGAAAAGUUCAUCUCAAAUAAAAUGCAUAAGCAAGAAAUAGAUAUCUUAAACCAGAAUUGAUAUCAUUUAAAAAUUCUCCUCUUCCUAAAGAACACUGAAAAUUACCCCCUCUAGCUUCGCUCCAUGACCCUACAUUUUAUCUGCUUCUACUGAAGGCAGUAAGCUUAGUUACAAAAUAGCAUCAAAGACUGAUGAAUUAGAAUGUGAUCUGAUUCUGAUUUCAAUGCACCUUGUUUACUGCCUACUGUGAUCCAAGCAAAACCUCUAGCAUGUGUGUUUGGCUUCUUUUCAUUUACAUUGCCAAAUGUCAGGAACAGUGACAUGUUGCAAAGAGAGUGUUAAGUUCAGAAACGAUAAUCAGAUUUAAUGGAGGAUUAAGGAGUGUCCCAACUUGUCUGCUAUAAAGCUUGUAGAAUGAGAGCAAUCAGACAAACAGAGCAAUUCUUCGCAAUUGAAGAAUUUUAAAACAGGAGUCCUAAUACAUUAAUCUCUUCGUUUUCAGCUUCUUUUGAGCCUGCAUUCUCUUUAUACUUUCCAAGGUUUUGGGACGCCAGAGUUUUUGUUAUUUCUCUUCUGAUUAUCUUUAAAGUGUUAGAAAUUUGUCUCCUAUACUUCUCAUAAAGGUUAAUCCUUCCUUUUCUUCUUUUACGCCAUUAUAAAUAAUAAAUAAAAUUUUAGUAAAAGACUUUCAGUGUAUACUACUAACCAGAACUCCUCUACGA